rnacentral:rRNA from 1 species
AUAGGGGGACUCCGAGUGCGAGGGCAUACAGUCCUCGCUUUUCUGUACCGUAAGGUGGUACAGGAACAAGUGCUGGGCAAGACCGGUGCCAGCCGCCGCGGUAAUACCGGCAGCACGAGUGAUGGCCGAUAUUAUUGGGCCUAAAGCGUCCGUAGCCGGCCGCGCAAGUCCGUUGGGAAAUCGACGCGCUCAACGCGUCGGCGUCCAGCGGAAACUGUGCGGCUUGGGGCCGGAAGACUCGAGGGGUACGUCCGGGGUAGGAGUGAAAUCCCGUAAUCCUGGACGGACCGCCGGUGGCGAAAGCGCCUCGAGAGGACGGACCCGACGGUCAGGGACGAAAGCUAGGGUCUCGAACCGGAUUAGAUACCCGGGUAGUCCUAGCUGUAAACGAUGCUCGCUAGGUGUGGCGCAGGCUACGAGCCUGCGCUGUGCCGUAGGGAAGCCGUGAAGCGAGCCGCCUGGGAAGUACGUCUGCAAGGAUGAAACUUAAAGGAAUUGGCGGGGGAGCACUACAACCGGAGGAGCCUGCGGUUUAAUUGGACUCAACGCCGGACAUCUCACCAGCACCGACAGUGGCUGUGAAGGUCAGUUUGAUGAGCUUACUGGAGCCACUGAGAGGAGGUGCAUGGCCGCCGUCAGCUCGUACCGUGAGGCGUCCUGUUAAGUCAGGCAACGAGCGAGACCCGCACUCCUAGUUGCCAGCAACACCGUAUGGUGGUUGGGUACACUAGGAGGACUGCCGCUGCCAAAGCGGAGGAAGGAACGGGCAACGGUAGGUCAGUAUGCCCCGAAUGUGCUGGGCAACACGCGGGCUACAAUGGCCGGGACAAUGGGAUGCCAUCCCGAGAGGGAGCGCUAAUCCCCUAAACCCGGUCGUAGUUCGGAUUGAGGGCUGAAACUCGCCCUCAUGAAGCUGGAUUCGGUAGUAAUCGCGUGUCAGAAGCGCGCGGUGAAUACGUCCCUGCUCCUUGCACACACCGCCCGUCAAAGCACCCGAGUGAGGUCCGGAUAAGGCCGUCAUGCGACGGUCGAAUC